rnacentral:rRNA from 1 species
CUACGUAGGGGGCGAGCGUUGUCCGGAUUUAUUGGGCGUAAAGGGUCCGUAGGCGGUUUGUUAAGUCUUCUGUGAAAGUUCAGGGCUCAACCCUGAAAUGUCGGGGGAUACUGGCAAACUUGAGACUGUCAGAGGCAAGUGGAAUUCCCGGUGUAGUGGUGAAAUGCGUAGAUAUCGGGAGGAACACCAGUGGCGAAAGCGGCUUGCUGGGACAGUUCUGACGCUGAGGGACGAAAGCGUGGGUAGCAAACCGGAUUAGAAACCCCGGUAGUCC